AAAUAAAGCGAUUAAUCGCAUUCAGUUUCGGCCUGAAUUUAGAAACUUUUCUAUUUU
rnacentral:tRNA from 1 species